rnacentral:rRNA from 1 species
AUUGCACGCUGGCGGCAGGCCUAACACAUGCAAGUCGAACGAGUGGCGGACGGGGGAGUAAUGUCCGGUAAACUGCCCGAUGGAGGGGGAUAACUACUGGAAACGGUAGCGCAUACCGCAUACCAUCGGAUGUGCACAGAGGGGAGUAGAUUGUAGGGCAGGUAACGACUCACCUAGGCGACGAUCCCUAGCUGGUCUGAGAGGAGGACCAGACACACUGGAACUGAGACAGGGUCGAGACUCCUACGGGAGGCAGGAGUGGGGAAUAUGGCACAGUGGACGAAAGCCUGAUGUAGACAUGAAGCGGGUAUGAAGAAGGUCUGCGGGUUGUAAAGGACUUUCAGCGGGGAGGCGUUACCCGAAGAAGAAGCAACGGCUAACGCCGUGCCAGCAGCCGCGGUAAUAC